rnacentral:rRNA from 1 species
UACGUAGGGUGCAAGCGUUAAUCGGAAUUACUGGGCGUAAAGCGUGCGCAGGCGGUUUUGUAAGUCUGUUGUGAAAUCCCCGGGCUCAACCUGGGAAUGGCAAUGGAGACUGCAAGGCUAGAGUUUGGCAGAGGGGGUAGAAUUCCACGUGUAGCAGUGAAAUGCGUAGAGAUGUGGAGGAACACCGAUGGCGAAGGCAGCCCCCUGGGCUAACACUGACGCUCAGGCACGAAAGCGUGGGGAGCAAACAGG